rnacentral:rRNA from 1 species
AUUGAACGCUGGCGGCAGGCUUAACACAUGCAAGUCGAGCGGGGUGAUGGUGCUUGCACUAUCACUUAGCGGCGGACGGGUGAGUAAUGCUUAGGAAUCUGCCUAUUAGUGGGGGACAACAUCUCGAAAGGGAUGCUAAUACCGCAUACGUCCUACGGGAGAAAGCAGGGGAUCACUUGUGACCUUGCGCUAAUAGAUGAGCCUAAGUCGGAUUAGCUAGUUGGUGGGGUAAAGGCCUACCAAGGCGACGAUCUGUAGCGGGUCUGAGAGGAUGAGCCGCCACACUGGGACUGAGAACCGGGCCAGACUCCUACGGGAGGCAGAGGUGGGGAAUAUUGGACAAUGGGGGGAACCCUGAUCCAGCCAUGCCGCGUGUGUGAAGAAGGCCUUAUGGUUGUAAAGCACUUUAAGCGAGGAGGAGGCUCUUUUGGUUAAUACCCAAGAUGAGUGGACGUUACUCGCAGAAUAAGCACCGGCUAACUCUGUGCCAGCCGCCGCGGUAA